CACGUAGGGUGCGAGCGUUGUCCGGAAUUAUUGGGCGUAAAGAGCUCGUAGGCGGUGUGUCGCGUCGGCCGUGAAAACCUGGGGCUUAACUCUGGGCUUGCGGUCGAUACGGGCAUCACUGGAGUUCGGCAGGGGAGACUGGAAUUCCUGGUGUAGCGGUGAAAUGCGCAGAUAUCAGGAGGAACACCGGUGGCGAAGGCGGGUCUCUGGGCAGUAACUGACGCUGAGGAGCGAAAGCGUGGGGAGCGAACAGG
rnacentral:rRNA from 1 species